AUGAUGACCCCCCUCACCUUGCAGGGCCAUCAAGGUGGAGGUGUACGACUGGGACCGGGACGGCAGCCACGACUUCAUCGGGGAGUUCCGCACGAGCCUGCGGGAGCUGGCGCGGGGCCGGAGUCCCCCCAACAUCUACGAGGUCGUGAACCCCCGCAAGAAGCUGAAGAAGAAAAAAUACCUGAACUCGGGCACGGUG